GAAUUCGCCCUUAGAGUUUGAUCCUGGCUCAGGACGAACGCUGGCGGCGCGCCUAACACAUGCAAGUCGAACGAGAGAGAGGGAGCUUGCUUCCUCAAUCGAGUGGCGAACGGGUGAGUAACGCGUGAGGAACCUGCCUCAAAGAGGGGGACAACAGUUGGAAACGACUGCUAAUACCGCAUAAGCCCACAGGUCGGCAUCGACCAGAGGGAAAAGGAGCAAUCCGCUUUGAGAUGGCCUCGCGUCCGAUUAGCUAGUUGGUGAGGUAACGGCCCACCAAGGCAACGAUCGGUAGCCGGACUGAGAGGUUGAACGGCCACAUUGGGACUGAGACACGGCCCAGACUCCUACGGGAGGCAGCAGUGGGGAAUAUUGCACAAUGGGGGAAACCCUGAUGCAGCGACGCCGCGUGGAGGAAGAAGGUCUUCGGAUUGUAAACUCCUGUUGUUGAGGAAGAUAAUGACGGUACUCAACAAGGAAGUGACGGCUAACUACGUGCCAGCAGCCGCGGUAAAACGUAGGUCACAAGCGUUGUCCGGAAUUACUGGGUGUAAAGGGAGCGCAGGCGGGAAGACAAGUUGGAAGUGAAAUCUAUGGGCUCAACCCAUAAACUGCUUUCAAAACUGUUUUUCUUGAGUAGUGCAGAGGUAGGCGGAAUUCCCGGUGUAGCGGUGGAAUGCGUAGAUAUCGGGAGGAACACCAGUGGCGAAGGCGGCCUACUGGGCACCAACUGACGCUGAGGCUCGAAAGUGUGGGUAGCAAACAGGAUUAGAUACCCUGGUAGUCCACACCGUAAACGAUGAUUACUAGGUGUUGGAGGAUUGACCCCUUCAGUGCCGCAGUUAACACAAUAAGUAAUCCACCUGGGGAGUACGACCGCAAGGUUGAAACUCAAAGGAAUUGACGGGGGCCCGCACAAGCGGAGGAACAUGUGGUUUAAUUCGAUGAUACGCGAGGAACCUUACCCGGGCUUGAAAGUUACUGACGAUUCUGGAAACAGGAUUUCCCUUCGGGGCAGGAAACUAGGUGCUGCAUGGUUGUCGUCAGCUCGUGCCGUGAGGUGUCGGGUUAAGUCCCAUAACGAGCGCAACCCCUACCGUUAGUUGCCAUCAGGUCAAGCUGGGCACUCUGGCGGGACUGCCGGUGUAAGCCGAGAGGAAGGUGGGGAUGACGUCAAAUCAGCACGGCCCUUACGUCCGGGGCUACACACGUGUUACAAUGGUAGGUACAGAGGGUCGCUACCCCGCGAGGGGAUGCCAAUCUCGAAAGCCUAUCUCAGUUCGGAUUGGAGGCUGAAACCCGCCUCCAUGAAGUUGGAUUCGCUAGUAAUCGCGCAUCAGCCAUGGCGCGGUGAAUACGUUCCCGGGCCUUGCACUCACCGCCCGUCA
rnacentral:rRNA from 1 species